AGAGUUUGAUCAUGGCUCAGAUUGAACGCUGGCGGAAUGCUUUACACAUGCAAGUCGAACGGCAGCACGGGGCAACCUGGUGGCGAGUGGCGAACGGGUGAGUAAUACAUCGGAACGUGCCCAAUCGUGGGGGAUAACGUAGCGAAAGUUACGCUAAUACCGCAUACGAUCUACGGAUGAAAGCGGGGGAUCGCAAGACCUCGCGCGAAUGGAGCGGCCGAUGUCAGAUUAGGUAGUUGGUGGGGUAAAGGCUCACCAAGCCAACGAUCUGUAGCUGGUCUGAGAGGACGACCAGCCACACUGGAACUGAGACACGGUCCAGACUCCUACGGGAGGCAGCAGUGGGGAAUUUUGGACAAUGGGCGCAAGCCUGAUCCAGCCAUUCCGCGUGCAGGAUGAAGGCCUUCGGGUUGUAAACUGCUCUUGUACGGAACGAAACGGUCUGCCCUAAUACGGUGGGCUAAUGACGGUACCGUAAGAAUAAGCACCGGCUAACUACGUG
rnacentral:rRNA from 1 species